AUUAUUAAUAUUUAAACUUAUAAAAAAUUUGAUAUAUCACAAUUUUUAACAUCAUUAUAUAAUAUAUAGAGUUUAAAAAAAUCUUACUUUUUCCGUCAUAUUUUAUGAUUCAAAAUUUAAAAAAUGAACAUAUAUUAACCAAUUGGCAAAAAAUGUGUGGGUUCAACGUCCCGCAUCGACAAAAAUAUAUAGACAAUGAUUUAUAAACAUAUCAUAAAUAAGAUCAACAUUAAUAUAAAUAAAUGGUUUUUUUACGGGACGGGUUUGGCGGGACGGGUUUGUCAGGACGUUACUUAAUAACAAUUGUAAACUAUAAAAUAAAAAUAUUUUAUAAAUAGAUACAAUUUGCAAAAAAAA
rnacentral:sRNA from 1 species